AAAUCGAGGGGUUCACCCCGUUUAAGCAUUGGAAACUGCUGAUCUGGAGUGUGGGAGAAGUAAGCGGAAUUCGUAGUGUAGCGGUGAAAUGCAUAGAUAUCAGGAAGAACUCCAGUGGCGAAGGCAGCAUACUGGCGCCUGACUGACGCUGAGGCUCGAAAGCGUGGGGAUCAAACAGAAUUAGAUACCCUGGUAGUCCACGCAGUAAACGAUCACUAAAAGGUGUCGGGGUUUAGAAAGACAUCCGGUGCUAAAGCGAAAGCGUUAAGUAUUCCACCUGGGGAAGUACGCUGGCAAGGGUGAAACUCAAAGGAAUUGACGGGGGCCCGCACAAGCGGAGGAGCAUGUGGUUUAAUUCGAAGAUACGCGAGGAACCUUACCCGGCCUCGACAUCAGCAUGACGGGCGGGGAAAGGGGCAUUUCCUUCGGGGCGUGGGAGGCAGUUGUGCAUGGUUGUUGUUAAGUUGUUGUGUGAGGAGUUGGGUUUAAGUCCAGAAAGAGGGCCACCCCUUAUCACUGUUAGUAACAGGUGAAGCUGAGCACUCUAUGGAGACUGCCGGGGCCAACCUAGAGGAAGGCGGGGACGACGUCAAAUCAUCGUGCCCCUUAUGUCCGGGGCGACACACGUGUUACAAUGGCGGGUACAGAGGGAGAGCGCAUAUGGCGAGAUAGAGCGGACCCCGAAAACGGGUCUCCAUUUGGGUUGGAGUCUGCAACCCCGCUCCCUGGAAGCGGAUUUGGUUGGUAUUGGCAAUUAAGCAUGGUGCGGUGAAUACGUUCCCGGGCCUUGUACUCACCGCCCGUCAAG
rnacentral:rRNA from 1 species